AUUGAACGCUGGCGGCAGGCCUAACACAUGCAAGUAGAACGCGUGGCGGACGGGUGAGUAAUGUCUGGGAAACUGACCGAUGGAGGGGGAUAACUACUGGAAACGGUAGCUAAUACCGCAUACCAUCGGAUGAGCCCAGAUGGGAUUCGCGAGUAGGUGGGGUAAGGGCGCACCAGGGCGACGAUCCCUAGCUGGUCUGAGAGGAUGACCAGCACCACUGGAACUGAGACACGGCCCAGACUCCUACGGGAGGCAGCAGUGGGGAAUAUUGCACAAUGGGCGCAACCCUGAGGCAGCCAGGCCGCGUGUAUGAAGAAGGCCUUCGGGUUGUAAAGUACUUUCAGCGGGGAGGCGUUACCCGCAGAAGAAGCACCGGCUAACUCCGUGCCAGCAGCCGCGGUAAUAC
rnacentral:rRNA from 1 species